rnacentral:lncRNA from 1 species
UUUUUUUAAUAAAUGAUAAUCAGAAUAUUUACUCCAGAGAAACUCAAGGUAAAUUCUCACAUCAUACCAUAGACUAAUUUCCAGAUAAAGUAAAGAGCUUAAUGUAAAAUUUUAAAUGAAAAAUACUACAGAAAAUAUAGAUGCACAAAGUAAUGGACAAAAUUUCAAAGCAUAAAUUGAUAGGUUUGACAAUUUAUAUUUUUUAAAAAUGUACAUAAUUUACAAAUGUAACAAUAAUGAACACGUAACUAGAGAAAUGUUUCAAUAAAUGUGUAAAUAGUUAAUAUAGAAAUAAUCCUAAUAACUAAAUAAAUAAUGAGCAAGGACUUAAACAGACUACAAAAGGAAUGACAAUGGUGAAGAAAUAAAAAAUUAUUCAAUAUAAUUUAUAAUAAAAGAAAUAUUUUCAAUUUUCCCCAUAUUUGUAAAUCCUUGAAAUGUACAUAUACAAUAUUGAAUUCUACUUUUUUACAUUCACAACUAACAUUUAACAUUACAUUUAUAUAAAUACUCUGCUAAACAUUUUCUAGACAUUAUUCUACAUACUUUAUAUAUAUUCACCCAAUUUAACUUUCAUAAUGCACUUUUGAGCUUGGUUCUAUUAUUAUCUCCUUUUUAUUGAUAGGAAAAUCAAAGCACUAAGAUAUUAUAUAAGUUUCCUAAAGUCACAAAGCUAGUAAGUGGUGACCUGGGACUAGAACCUAGGCAUUCUGGUUUUAGCUUCUGAACUCCCAACCACUCAUAAUACCUUGUUUCUCAACUCUUAGUAAGGAUGAGGUGAGACAAUCCCAUGUGUACUCUUCCAAGUAUAUGUUGAUUGGUUAUGAUGAUGGUUGUACAACUAUAAUAAAAUUAAUUUAAUUUUUAAAAGUGUACAUCCAUGGAUCAUUUCUGGAAAACAAUUUUUAUUAAAGCACUCUCAUGCAUAUACAUCUUAGUUUCAAAGAACUUUAAUUAUAUAACAGAGAAAAACCUAGUAUUAGAUAUUGAAAUCAGAGUGUAAAAUGUUCUGUAUAGCUGACACUCACCUGUAGAUGUUAGCCAUGAAUAACAUGGAAAAAUAAGUUUCUAGGUGAUUUUUUAAGAGCAUACUGCUAUGUUUUAAAAUUUUCCUAAAAUGAUUUGCAUAACCUUUUAGUCCAAAGUCUCUGUAAAAUCCUAUUCAAAUGUUAAAAUAAAACAUAGUAACACAUGGGCUCCUUAAACUUUAGAAAGGUUACAGGUUUGACUCACUGACAACAAAAAAGGGUAUCACUUCAUAUUUAUCCUUUGUUUACUUGAGCACCUAAGUAGGCUAAAAAAAUAACAAAAAGCACUAAGGCCCUAACAGUCGCAUCUGACUCAUUGGUUCAACAAAUACUGACUGUGGGCAUUCUAUGUGCCAGGCAUUCUUCUAGGGAUUCCAUGGCAAACAAAAAAUACCAAGUUUCUGUGCUUGUGACAUUCUCAUUCCAGCAGCAAGAAAUAAACCAUAAACAAGUAUGUGUUAAACAAAGAAAAAAGCAUUAAUAGGACUAGAGAUUGAUGGGGGAUGCUGUUUUUACAGAAUAGUUGGAAAAGCCAUAUGCCUUAAGUGAUAUUUAUGGAAAGACACAAAGAAGAGAGGACAGCAUCCAGGGAAGAGUAUUCCAUGCAGAGGGAACAGUAUGUGUGAAACCCUGCUGUGGGGGUGUGCUUAGUUUCCUGGGGACACCCAGGAGGCAAUAUGGCCCACAUGAAGUUGGGAUGGGGAAUGGGGAGGAGGCUGGAGACAAAUGCAGUCUAUGUAGGGCUGUAUAGGGCAUUGUUAGAACUUUGCAUCACACCAGUGGGGUGAAAAGUUCUGACUUAACUUCAAAAGUUUCAUUCUGAGUGUUGGAUAGAGAAGCAAUGCUAGAAAGGCAGGGAUGGAGGCAGGAAGACCAGUGAGAAGUGCAUCGCAGUAAUCCACAUGUGAGAUAAAGGGAAUUCGGACUAGAUUCACUCAUAGCAGUGGAGAGCGGGAGAAACAAUCAAAUUUGGGAUCGAUUAGAAAGGUAGACCUGGCAAGAUUCUCCAAUGGAAUGGAUGUUGGGUGUAAAAAAGAGGAAAGUGAAAGAUGACUUAGAAUAUGAGAUAAGAGCAAAGUUAAUUUCACUCAAGUGAUACAACACUUUUUGCUCUUCCACAUCAGAGUCCUGCCCCCUUUCUGUCCUGUCCCUCUCAGAGGCAGUCUGGGAAAAUGCCUCCUCUUUGUGGUUCCCGGGCACCCAAGUUAGCUUUUUGAUUAAUCCAAGAGCCUCUUGGGAAGAAUAUUGUCCUAUUAUUAUUUCUGUCUUCAAUACCUAGUACAAUGUCCAGUGUAUAGCAGAUAGUCCAUGUAAUAUUUGGUGAAUGAAUAUGCUACUUAUUUAAUGAGUGAUUGAUUGAAUAAAUAAUUAUUGGACUUUAUGUAGAAUUCAUUAUGGUGUUUUACUCUUUUUUCUAGGGAGUCAAGAAUUAAAUUUAAAAAUGUAUUUACUGUGUUUAAUAGGGUUUCUUGCAUUCUAGGCAGUCUUGAGCUUAAUUUUUCAAGUUGGUUUUCCUAAAUUACAUAUCCUAAACAACGUGUAACUAUUAAACUAGUUUUCAGAUCGUCUGGAAGCACAAGCUGGGCCUAAAUCAAAGUACAAAUUCAUUUUAUGGGGGCCUGAGGCCUGCCCAUGGCUAAGAUGUCAUAUAUCCUGAGUGUUGGAAGCUUAGUAAAUAUUUCUGAUGACUCACGUUGAAAACUUGAGAAUUAUUUUUAACUCUUAUUCCUUUUUUUAAAAAAACCAGCCAUGAAACCUGCCAAUUCUUCCUUUAUAGAAAACUUUCCAUUUCUUCAUUCUCAUGUAUUCAGGCAAUUAUAACCUCACGCCUAGAUUUCUAUAAUUUUCUUCUGACUGAUAUCAGCUGUAAGGCCCCUCACCCUUCUUCCCAAGUCCUUCCUACAUAUCACUUUCUAAUCAUUUUUUCCAAACUUCAGGAUUGAUUGGAUCAUUCCUCUUAGAACUUAAGGUCUCUCUUUUUGUCAAGGGAAGUUCCUCAGGUGAUUUUCUAGGAGUGGUCAAUUCUGGCCAGAAUUUAUGGAGUGGCUCCAUAAAUGGUUAUAUCAUUUGUCUAUAUCAUCUUGCUUCUCUUCUUCACAUGUAUGGCUCACACUCCCCUGCUCUAGGUAGACAGUCAUCUUUGCUGUUUCCCCUUGCUACACUGCAACUAUAGGAUGAUCAGGUCUGCCUUUAAUCUGAUGUCUCUACCUGAUGUGCAGAACUUCAGACUCCUCAUCUAUCUGAAAGCUGCAUGAUCUUUCAGACUGUGUUCCUGCACACCCUCUCAGGCUAUCCCCCACUCAUCCCUCCUGAAGUAAUGCUGUUCUGCAUGUAUUUCAAACUUUUAAAAAAUGUAUUAAGCUGUAGUGUGUGUAUUAAACCUUGUGGUAUGAAGGGUUAAGGAUCUGGUGUCUCCACUGCAGUAGCGUGGGUCGCUGCUAUGGUGCAGGUUUGAUCCCUGGCCUGGGAACUUCCACGUGCUGCAGGCAGGGCCAAACAAUGUAUUAUAUUGUAAAGUUCUUACUGAUAUCAGCCGUGAUAUCAGUAUAUGAUAUUUCCAUAUGGGUUUUAUAUUUCCAACUAGACUUUAAGUCCCUCAAAGGUAUAAGAUGUGUAUCUUUUCUUUUUGCUCCCAUAUUUUCAGUUACCUCACAUAGUUUAGCAUACUGUGUACUGUUAAUAAGUGCAUGUUGCCUUGAUUUGAUUUAAGAAGUAUCACAGUGGAUGUUAAAUAUCUUUUUUUAAAAAAUAAAAUUCUGUGUAACACUCAGGAUCAGGUUUGCAUAUUACAGAGCUGGGGAUUGGUAGCCAGUACCCAAGUGUUCACCUUGUGACCUCAAUAUCCUUUUUAUUGAGCUUCUUUUCAAAAAUUCAAUCUUAGUCUGUGACAUAAAGUAUUAAGAACCAAAGUUUAUAAAUUAUAUAAAAUGCAUUGAUGAUAUCCAUUGUCCAUUUAUGACUUCUAUUAUGAUGAUUUGCAGAGUCGAUAAAGCUUAGUAAUGGGAAAACAGAGAUUUUGGAGUCAGUCAGACUGUCGGUAAAACCCAGGUUCAUAUUUAUUCACUCUAGGGACAGGCAAUAUCAUUUCUCUAGUCCUUUGUCUUCUUUUCUAUACAAAAGUACAGAUAAUAAUACUAAUUACUUUAUAGGAUUGUAGUGAGACAUGCGUAUAAGACAUAAAAGAGUGCUUGACACUUGGUAAGUCUGAAAUAAAUUUUAGGAAUUGUUAUUAUUUCUCCAUUAUCAUUUUUAUUAUUAUUGUUGAGAUACACCAAGGCCUCAUUUAGUCAAAUACUAUCACAUUAAAAAUAAUUGUCAAUACACAAGCAAGAGAAGAGUAAUCGAGGACAAUGGACCUCGAAGAAAGUAAAUAUCAGAGUUUUUUUUACAUUUUAUUCCUUGGGAGUUCCCGUCGUGGCGCAGUGGUUAACGAAUCCAACUAGGAACCAUGAGGUUGCGGGUUCGGUCCCUGCCCUUGCUCAGUGGGUUAACGAUCCGGCGUUGCCGUGAGCUGUGGUGUAGGUUACAGACGCGGCUCGGAUCCCGCGUUGCUGUGGCUCUGGCGUAGGCCAGGAGCUACAGCUCCGAUUCGACCCCUAGCCUGGGAACCUCCAUAUGCCGCGGGAGCGGCCCAAGAAAUAGCAACAA